rnacentral:tRNA from 1 species
GCUAGAAUAUCUUAGUUACUUAGAGCAUGUGGCUAUUAACCACAACGUCGAAGGUUCAAGCCCUCCUUCUACCA